GGUUACAUAGCGACUGCCAAGCCAAUGUUUGUUCACUGCAUGGUCAGAUUACACCUCAAAGAAAAGAAAAGAAAGAGAAGGAGAAAAUACGCACUUGGAAGCUGUUGCCAACAAUAAGCUUGCCCAGUUGGAAGGAGCCCAUUGGCAGAGUUGGCACCGAUCGGCUUUAAUCCUUUCUCAGGCACUGAGGCAAUGCAUGCAAGAGUGUACCUGUCGGGAGUUGCCAGAUGUCUGACAUCAGCUCUGUGGGAGUUGCACAAUGGGAAAGUCCUGGCCUUGGAGUCUCACGGUUCCCCUAACCAUCAUUCGAAAACACAGGCCCGUUCCCUGUUCUUUCUGGAAACUUGAUCUCCUUAGCUUCAAAGCAAUGACCUUGAGAGUGUCCUAGGGCAGAAAAAUAUAACAAAACCCAAAAUGCAUUUCUUUAGCCUAUGUAAGGAAGCUGUUUCCUAAUGUUGGGGCACUAAAAAGCCCAAAUAAAGGUAUUAUUUA